UACGGAGGGUGCGAGCGUUGUCCGGAAUCAUUGGGCGUAAAGGGCGCGUAGGUGGCGGGACAAGCGUGCGGUGAAAGCUCGGGGCUCAACCCCGCGUCGGCCGUGCGAACUGUUUUGCUUGAGCACUGUAGAGGCAGGCGGAAUUCCGGGUGUAGCGGUGAAAUGCGCAGAUAUCAGGAGGAACACCGGUGGCGAAGGCGGGUCUCUGGGCCGAUACUGACGCUGAGGAGCGAAAGCGUGGGGAGCGAACAGG
rnacentral:rRNA from 1 species